UACACAGUAAACGAUGAAUAUUAAUUAUCGGAAUUUUCGGUAAUUAAGUUAACACGUGAAAUAUUCCGCCUGGGGAGUACGAUUGCAAAAUUAAAACUCAAGAAAAUUGACGGGAACUUGUACAUACGGUGGAGCAUGUAGUUUAAUGCGAUUACACACGCUGAACCUUACCAGUUUUUGACAGAUAUUUAUAAAAAUACAGAUGGUUAAUCGCUUGUAUUUUUGAAUUGUAAAUGUCACAGGGU
rnacentral:rRNA from 1 species